CACGUAGGCGGGUAUUUAAGUCAGGGGUGAAAUCCCAGAGCUCAACUCUGGAACUGCCUUUGAUACUGGGUACCUAGAGUAUGGAAGAGGUAAGUGGAAUUCCGAGUGUAGAGGUGAAAUUCGUAGAUAUUCGGAGGAACACCAGUGGCGAAGGCGGCUUACUGGUCCAUUACCGACGCUGAGGUGCGAAAGCGUGGGGAGCAAACA
rnacentral:rRNA from 1 species